UUUACAUUUUUAUUUUAUUUUUUACAAUUUUAUUUUUAAAGACGUUGAUAUAUCAUGAUAAAAAAAAAAGAAAGAAAAAAAAAAAAUAUAUAUAUAUAUAUAUAUAUAUAUAUAUAGUUGCAUACACAAGGUUAGUGAAUGAGACCCAAUAAUUUGUUAUUGUGAAAUCCAUUAAAUGUGCAAACCAGAAGUUUACCAGAGACAUUAUAUGUAGAGGGAACUUGCUUAAACUUGUAUAAAAGGAGCUGAACUUCCAAGAUGGCCGCUGAGUUGACUGACUUGCCUUCUUGGGACUAUAAAGUUUAAUUUCUAUUUGUGCAGCAUUGCUGAAAUGAAGCAGGGGAUUUCCAAUUCCCAGCAAACCUUGCACAAGACUGAAUGGGUCUGUGCAGAUGUUCGAAGACUCUGAGGUUUACCAAAAUGGAAAAGGUCAGAGCUGGACAACUGAGAGUUGGAUGCUGCCCACUGCUUUGAGCCUGGGUAUAUAAACAGUCAGAGCGGACACAGCAGGAUGUGGAGAAAGACUGGUUUGAGUGAGGUUUGCUGACUGCAUUUAAAUGCCAUUCAUUUCCCAGUAUUUAUCGAAACACAAUGUGGGGAAAGAUUUCACAUUUGGAUGGUUUUUUUUUUGUCAGAAAUUUCAAACAUUUCCUGUAAGGUGGAGAACCAACAAAUUGCCUGACAUGCAGCUUCCAAAAGACACAUCCUCGCGACAAUCUGACAUACACUGUGGCAUGCUGUGUGUGGCCCAAAAGAUGAGGUUCUGGUGAACAAACAUCAUUGAAAAUGAAUCAUGUGACGCAUCAGGUGAUUGCAAUAAACAUAUCAUGCCUGUG